rnacentral:rRNA from 1 species
CCUACGGGAGGCAGCAGUGAGGAAUAUUGGUCAAUGGUCGGGAGUCUGAACCAGCCAAGCCGCGUGAAGGAGGACGGUACUAUGGGUCGUAAACUUCUUUUGUAAGGGAAUAAAACGAGGCACGCGUGCCCGGCUGCAUGUACUUGAAGAAAAAGGAUCGGCUAACUCCGUGCCAGCAGCCGCGGUAAUACGGAGGAUGCGAGCGUUAUCCGGAUUUAUUGGGUUUAAAGGGAGCGUAGGCGGGUUGUUAAGUCAGCGGUGAAAGGUCGGGGCUCAACCCCGACACUGCCAUUGAGACUGGCAGUCUUGAGUAGAGUAGAGGUAGGCGGAAUGCGUGGUGUAGCGGUGAAAUGCUUAGAUAUCACGCAGAACACCGAUUGCGAAGGCAGCUUACCAACC